UAGGGAAUCUUCCACAAUGGACGCAAGUCUGAUGGAGCAACGCCGCGUGAGUGAAGAAGGCUUUCGGGUCGUAAAACUCUGUUAUUGAAGAAGAACGUGUGUGACAGUAACUGGUCAUGCAGUGACGGUAUUCAAUCAGAAAGUCACGGCUAACUACGUGCCAGCAGCCGCGGUAAUACGUAGGUGGCAAGCGUUGUCCGGAUUUAUUGGGCGUAAAGCGAGUGCAGGCGGUCUUUUAAGUCUGAUGUGAAAGCCUUCGGCUUAACCGAAGAAGGGCAUCGGAAA
rnacentral:rRNA from 1 species